UCUGGGGCAGAAGACAGAACUCCCAA
rnacentral:piRNA from 1 species